GUAAUCUGAGCGUCUUAUUUUAAUAAGUCAAAACUUUCAACAACGGAUCUCUUGGUUCUGGCAUCGAUGAAGAACGCAGCGAAAUGCGAUAAGUAAUGUGAAUUGCAGAAUUCAGUGAAUCAUCGAAUCUUUGAACGCACAUUGCGCCCAUUAGUAUUCUAGUGGGCAUGCCUGUUCGAGCGUCAUUU
rnacentral:rRNA from 5 species